AGUGAACGUUGGCGGCGUGGAUUAGGCAUGCAAGUCGAGCGAGAACCGUAGCAAUACGGGGACAGCGGCGAAAGGGACAGUAAUGUGUAGGUACCUACCUCCGGGUUCGGGAUAGCUACGGGAAACUGCAGGUAAUACCGAAUAACGUCUCCGGACCAAAGGUGUGAUUCCACCUGGAGAGGGGCCUGCAUCCUAUUAGCUUGUUGGCGGGGUAACGGCCCACCAAGGCGACGAUGGGUAGCGGGUGUGAGAGCACGACCCGCGUCAUUGGGACUGAGACACUGCCCAGACACCUACGGGUGGCUGCAGUCGAGGAUCUUCGGCAAUGGGCGCAAGCCUGACCGAGCGACGCCGCGUGCGGGAUGAAGGCCUUCGGGUUGUAAACCGCUGUCGUAGAGGAGGAAGUGCAGGGGGGUUCUCCCCUCUGCUUGACCUAUUCUAGGAGGAAGGACGGGCUAAGUUCGUGCCAGCCGCCGCUGUAA
rnacentral:rRNA from 1 species